UGUGGGAGUGAGCCUGCUCGCGAUUGGGCAGGAUCAGUCGACAUCCAAGUUGAAUGUUCGACUGCAAUCGCGAGCAGGCUCACUCCCACA
rnacentral:antisense_RNA from 2 species